rnacentral:lncRNA from 1 species
CAGCACGCUGGUCAGGUACCCGUUGGUGAGGCCCAGGAGGCAGGUCAACGCCGUGACGGGUAUCUCCGUGCGGAGGAACUCAGGGCCGUGCAGGCAGACCAGGAAGAGCGGGAAGAAGAGCAACCUGGCGGCGCAGCCGGCAAUGGCGGUCGCCUCGCUCUGGAGCAUGUAGAGGGCGGGGAGGCACUUGCCGACCAGGUCGAACACGUUGUAGGCAGUGAUGAGGAUGAUGGCGUACCAGUCCCCGAGGGCCGGCGAGUGCACGUCCUGGGUGAGGUAGCCGGGGAAGAUGGAGAGGGUCACCGCGUAGAUGAGGAACACGCCGAGGCCGAACCAUUUGAUUCUGCCGACGAUCCUCCACAGGGUUGACCGCCAGGCCGCUCCGGUGAGCGCCGAGUCCUUCCCUUCUCGCUCCUCCUGCUCCGCCUGGGCCUUGAGGGCCUUGUAGUAGCGGACGACCGGCAGGCGGUCCGCCACGUUGUAGCAGAGGAGGCAGAGGCCCAUGAGGACGAUGCUGACGGCGAAGUAGAGGUGGGCGCUC